GCCGCUGUAGUUUAAUGGACAGAACAAGCCCGUCCUAAGGGUUAGAUGGGAGUUCGAUUCUCCCUGGCGGCA
rnacentral:tRNA from 1 species